rnacentral:lncRNA from 1 species
GAUGGUUGGUCGGCUCUUAUCUUAUAGAAUAACAGAGUAAAAGUCAAAGUAAAGAAAAAAAAGAUUUCUUUGGUCGUGUAGGGAGAUUACAAAAAAAAUGUAUGUAAUAAUGGUAGUGAUGUCUCCCCAUUCUUUCACAGAAAGAAAGACAGUAAGGCUUAGAUCAAAUAGGAAAUAUAGGUAUCCAAUAGAUAGUUAUCUAUCUUGAUGGUAUAUCUUUUUUUGAUAUUUUUUGCUUAUGAAAGAAGGGUAACAAAACAAACAAUAGGUCUUACUAUUCCCACAUGUUCCAUUAGGAGCAUUCCUUUGCUAUUUUCAAGGAAAAGGUGUGUGUAUCGUAUUUUUACUUAAUACUUCCCAAUUCUACCAGAAAUCCUAUAAAGAAUCUGUUACGAGCGGAUUCAUUGAAUUGGUUUAUCAAUAGCCUUAAGUCAGAAUCCUAUUUUGACUCUGCGCCAUUGAUUCUACUAUGAUUAUUGAUCAAUAAUGGAAUAAUUCCUUCAUAGAAAUAGGAGAUAUAAUUCACAUGGAUAUAGUAAGUCUCGCUUGGGCUGCUUUAAUGGUAGUCUUUACAUUUUCCCUUUCACUCGUAGUAUGGGGAAGGAGUGGACUCUAGGUAUAUUAAUAAUUGAUUGAGUAAUCGAUUGAGUAAUCGAAUUGUAUCAAUUGUUUAAUUGAUCGUUUUGCGAAGCUUUAUUUUUAAAAUGUCUCUCUUUCAAAAUUCUACUGGAAAAACAAUAAUGAAUAAAAAAAUACAAUAAUGAAUAAUAACCAUUCGAUCAAACAAUGAAUGAUUACUAUAGUUUAGUUGUAUUUCAAAACUCAAAUCUACGCAUGAUAGGAAAUUUUUUCCAACCGAAUUCCUCCUAAAUAUUCUAUUUGGAUAAACCAGUUCUUACCAGAAUUAUGGAUAUUACAAUGAGAAAAAACCAAUCCCUAGUUUUUUCUUUAUUUGUUUCUCUCUUUCUUUACUUUCACUGUUCUAAGAACAAAUCGUUCUGCUAUUAGAUUACGACGAUACCUACUUUCUACUGGAAGUGACUAGUGGUUGUCCAAAGAGGUUCUACACAUAAUAAAAUUAGAUCUUUCUUCCGCUGAGCGAUCCACCACAUAUCACACAUUUAACAUUUUAGACUCCUAGAGAUUCUUUUAUGCUUUUUUGACUCAUCUAAUGUCAUGUUUAAGCAUAAAAAAUGGUCCGAGUCCCCUUUACUAAUCUACUUCCUUUCAAAAUCUGAAGAAGUUACCAUAGAACUUCGUAAAUGAUCUGUUAAUGGCUCAAUCAAUGACUUCUUGGGAUGGGAAAUCAAAAAAAAAAAUUCCUUGGUUUUGUUUUCUUUUGCUAUAGUAUAUUCCCAUACUAUUCUUCCUCUAUUGAUUCUUUCGAUGGAUCCCGGAACCUAUAUAUAAAAUUAUAAGAAACCCAGGAAUUAGAAGAAUAGGCCUUAGAUUAUUUUGGGUUGAUCGAAAUCGAGUGGAUGUAGCGAAAAAAAGAAAUAGAAUUAGACUGCUAUUUCGAUGUACUAGUCUACUAUUUAUAUUAGAUGUACAUCUAAUAUAUCAUAUACAUACAUAUUGUAAAUUGAUCUAUAUAAACCCUCCAUUUAGAUAAAGUCUAUAUCUGUAUACAAUACAACUAUACAUGAUAAUAUCAUUGUAUACAAUAUUAGAUAAUAUAAAAUACUCUAAAGAGUGGUAGAAAGGACUAUAUAUAGUCCUUUCUACCACUCUUUAUGAUUCCAACCAGAUCAUUUCAUUUAAGACUUGGAAUUUUCUUUUAAUCCCUUUCUUUCAUUUCUUCAAUCAUUGAAAAAAGGAUUGAUAAGAACUAAUAAUUCAGAUUCAAAUUAAUCAUUUUGACUGACUGUUUUUACGUAGAUAAUAAGUAAAAAGGCAGUAGGAACUAGAAUGAACAGUGCAGUAGCAAUAAAUGCGAGAAUAUUGACUUCCAUAAUUUCAUUAUUUCUUUUUUUCUUCGCAAUAACUCGGGAUGUAAUCCCAUAGAGAUGAGAAAUUUAACUCCUGUAAAUUCAUUGGGAUGAAUUGAUCCUGAUGAUACCGAAUCGGAUCAAUAUUAUGAAUAACAAUAUCUGAUCUAUCAAAUCGAUUCAUCGUCGAGAAUUGAAUAGUAUAACAUAGGAAGAUCCUUUAUCCAUACCAAUUCUGAAAUGGGAUUUUUUAUUGGAUCAGGAAUCCCAUUGCAUUUUUCAUCCUCUUCCACUUUUCUUUUCUAUAACCUACUGUCUUCCUUAUCUUAUACAACUCUCCUUCCUGUGUAUUAUACUUACAAUUAUGAGGUAUUAUAUGACCGGUAUUCUAUGGGUCACACACAGACCCAAACGAGGUGAGAUGGAAAAAGGGGGGGAUUAAAUAAAAAAGAUCAAAUAUUCCAACAAAUUUACUGAAAAGGGUCCUUGCUUGGUCUUUUCUUUUAUUUUAUUAGUAUCCUCUUUCUUGUAUUUAUUUGUACUGGAACGCAUACAUCAAAAAUGAUGUCUGCAAUUUGAAUGAGAAUGAGAUAGAUUGUUUACAAUUAGUCAUUGAGGAUACACAAACAAAGUCAGAACUAGAAAAGGUGUGGUUUAACCUGAAAAGUACUCUGUCGAGGUAAUUAUGUUAAGUUCAUUGUCCAUCGUACAAUAAACGAAUACAAUUUGUGUAUGUACUCCCGGUAAAAUAGGAUCACUCUACUCCAUUUCAUGGAUCAAGAACAAUCGAAAAAGAAAGUAAGACGAGGAUGGUAUCUCUUAAAAUACUGAAUAUAGUAAUACCACCGAUUGUACUAAUGUACAUAUGAUAUGUCUCUCCUUUAUCAAUCGGGAGUAGUGGAAAGAUUUGAAAUUCCCGUAUCCGUAUUUGUGUGAUGAUAAAUGCGAAAUAAAAAACAAAAGAAAUAAGGAUCCCUCCCCACUGGGGAUUAGAUCUUGCUUCCUGUCCCCCUUUUCCGUGAAAAGAGAGAGAUGAAUUGAUAAAUUCACCGGAUCCUAGUUCGGGACUGACGGGGCUCGAACCCGCAACUUCCGCCUUGACAGGGCGGUGCUCUGACCAAUUGAACUACAAUCCCAGCGAGGUGUAUGGCAUACAUAUUCUUAAUGUUACAUAUUCUUAUGUAAUCAUAAGAACAUUCUAGUCCUAGUCGUCGUAUUGUAAGAAAGACAGGAAUGAUAUACUGAUAUCAUAGCCACAUAUAAUAUGGGCUAUAGUGAGAGCGACACGGAUUACUAGUAACCAAUAAUUAUUUUACUGCCAAAAGUGGAUAAUCAAUCUUUCAAUGAGAAAAAAGAACUAAACUCUUUUGUUUGCUUUUCAUGAUACUUUACUUAAUUAAGUAAAGUAUCAUGAACUAGAUCCUUAGAAAGAUCAGAAAGAGAAAAAUUGGGAUAGAGAAAAAAAAAAAUUGACUCUUUCUCUUUAUUUCUACGGAUUAGGCAUUUCCGUUUAUGGAAGACAAAUUGGUUAUAUCAUAUUCAUGGAGCGGUGAAUUAUUGGGCCGAGCUGGAUUUGAACCAGCGUAGACAUAUUGCCAACGAAUUUACAGUCCGUCCCCAUUAACCGCUCGGGCAUCGACCCAGGAAGAAUUCAUUCUAGGCUUAUUGAUAAUCUAUGAUCAACUUCCUUUCAUAGUACCCUACCCCCAGGGGAAGUCGAAUCCCCGCUGCCUCCUUGAAAGAGAGAUGUCCUGAACCACUAGACGAUAGGGGCAUAUACGCCCGACCGUCAUCAUACUAUGAUGAUAGUAUGAGCAGUUUUUUGGAAUUGUCAAUAUAGUCUAAUGGUAUGACUAGAUCCAAAAAGUCUUUCCUACUUUUAUGUUAUGAUUUUAUAGAAUUUUUUUUUUUCCAAAAUUCAAAAUAAUAAUCUUAUCUACUUUUGGAGUAAAUCCAAUUUAUUGUUCCUGACUGAACUCCUAUGCAUAUAGGCAUAUAUUAUGUGCAUAUAGUACAUAUAUACAUAUAUACAUACAUGCAGUAGACUCAUAAUGGAAAAAAAAAAUGGCUAAUUCAUGAAUUGAAUAAAACGGCCCUUUUAACUCAGCGGUAGAGUAACGCCAUGGUAAGGCGUAAGUCAUCGGUUCAAAUCCGAUAAAGGGCUUUUUUUUUCCACUAAACUCAAGUUUUAGCCUUCGUUUUUCAGCGGAAAAUAUCUCUAUUAUUUUUUCUAAAAAGAAAAGGAUAACCACCAUUAUAAUGAAUUCUGAUUAUUCUGACUUAUAGUUAAGUUAGGAAGUUGAACAUUUAUUGAUUAGCAAAAUGACUAAUUUCACGUAUUAGGAGUAGUCCACCUGUAGUGACAUAGUAGUCCUCCUCAUGUCUCAUUAUUCACAAAUUUUUUGUCCUGGGAAAUAACAGAAAUAUUCUAUAAUACUCUAUAUAUCCAAUUCCUAUUAUUAAUCGACAAACCAAGGUGUUCUUAUUUCUCCAAUGUUCUUAUCACACCCACUAUCAAAUUCUAAAUAAAGAAAAGGUAAGUGGACCUGACCCAUUGAAUGAUGACUAUAUCAGCUAUUCUGAUAUUUAAAUUCGAUAUAGAUGAAAUUGUAUAAGCAGAUUUCUUUUUAUUUCCUUAGACCACGCAAAGCAAGAAUAAAUCGAUAUUUAUGAUUUAACCUUCUUGUUACUGGGUGCUCCAUAGGAAUAAAUCGCUAUUUUUUUCUUCUACAAAGUUUAUUUCGAAAAUCUAUUUUUCAAUAUCUUUCCUUGAUUUCAGAAUCAGAUAUUGUUUUGUUCUUCCGCCAAUGCAAUAGAGAACGAAUGCGAGAAAAGGACUUUCAUUUCCAGUCUACCAUUAUUUAAUAUUUCAUUUUGUGGCAGGAAAAAAUAGGAAAUUUUCUUUUAUUUUGGUUUGACCCGUUAAAAGAUAUACUCUGAAAUAUGAGUCAUAGGACAAUUCAGGAUUCAAAUGGUUAUCAAAAAAAUGGUUAUAUAGUAUAAGGACUAAUCGAAUCGAGCUCAUGGAUUUCCCAUGGAUUUACCUAGGUUGGUUUGUGGCCCAAUAGAAAA